AUUGAACGCUGGCGGCAGGCCUAACACAUGCAAGUCGAGCGAGCGGCGGACGGGUGAGUAAUGUAUGGGGACUGCCCGAUAGAGGGGGAUAACUACUGGCAACGGUAGCUAAUACCGCAUACUAUCGGAUAACCCAUAUGGGAUUCGCUAGUAGGUGAGGUACUGGCUCACCGAGGCGACGAUCCCUAGCUGGUCUGAGAGGAUGAUCAGCCACACGGGGACUGAGACACGGCCCAGACUCCGACGGAGGAAGCAGGGGGGAAUAUUGCACAAUGGGCGCAAGCCUGAGGCAGCCAUGCCGCGUGUAUGAAGAAGGCCCUAGGGUUGGAAAGUACUUUCAGUCGGGAGGCGUUACCGACAGAAGAAGCACCGGCUAACUCCGUGCCAGCAGCCGGGUAAUAC
rnacentral:rRNA from 1 species